AAAAGACUUCCACCUUUUUGGAUGUAGGAGAUUUCUAUUCUUUGCACCAUUAAUUUGAGAUUUUUUGGAUAGCUAUUUCUCUUUUGGUUUAGAUUCAAAUAGGUUGAAACUGACAUGUGUCAGCAGGCUUCAACAAGAAGACUAGAAAAUGAUGCAGAAUUAAGGAAGCACUACUUUGAAAUGUGGACUUCUUGAACCUACAGGGCACUAUAUGUAUCUAAUUACUCCUUCCUUGCAGGCUAUUGCCUUACCAACUAGGUAAAAACAAGGACAAAA